UUUAAUACAUUUGAGUUUUGAAAAAAACAAAGUUAAAAUAAUUUACAAAAUGUCAGUAGUCUAUUGUUUGGCCAUAUAAUACAAUAAGAUUUAUUUAGAGUGUUUUACAUUACAUUACAUCAUUUAAAUUAAAGAUACAAAACAAAAAAAUAAAAAGGAAUUAAUAAAAAAGAAAAGAAAAUUACAAGUUUGUUUCAUCCACACGAG
rnacentral:lncRNA from 1 species